rnacentral:rRNA from 1 species
GAUGAACGCUGGCGGCGUGCCUAAUACAUGCAAGUCGAGCGAACAGACGAGGAGCUUGCUCCUCUGACGUUAGCGGCGGACGGGUGAGUAACACGUGGAUAACCUACCUAUAAGACUGGGAUAACUUCGGGAAACCGGAGCUAACACCGGAUAAUAUAUUGAACCGCAUGGUUCAAUAGUGAAAGACGGUUUUGCCGUCACUUAUAGAUGGAUCCGCGCCGCAUUAGCUAGUUGGUAAGGUAACGGCUUACCAAGGCGACGAUGCGUAGCCGACCUGAGAGGAUGAUCAGCCACACUGGAACUGAGACGCGGUCCAGACUCCUACGGGAGGCAGCAGUAGGGAAUCUUCCGCAAUGGGCGAAAGCCUGACGGAGCAACGCCGCGUGGGUGAUGAAGGUCUUCGGAUCGUAAAACUCUGUUAUUAGGGAAGAACAAAUGUGUAAGUAACUAGGCACGUCUUGACGGUACCUAAUCAGAAAGCCACGGCUAACUACGUG